rnacentral:rRNA from 1 species
UGGGGAAUAUUGGACAAUGGUCGAAAGCCUGAUCCAGCCAUGCCGCGUGUGUGAAGAAGGUCUUCGGAUUGUAAAGCACUUUAAGUUGGGAGGAAGGGCAUUAACCUAAUACGUUAGUGUUUUGACGUUACCGACAGAAUAAGCACCGGCUAACUCUGUGCCAGCAGCCGCGGUAAUACAGAGGGUGCAAGCGUUAAUCGGAAUUACUGGGCGUAAAGCGCGCGUAGGUGGUUUGUUAAGUUGGAUGUGAAAUCCCCGGGCUCAACCUGGGAACUGCAUUCAAAACUGACUGACUAGAGUAUGGUAGAGGGUGGUGGAAUUUCCUGUGUAGCGGUGAAAUGCGUAGAUAUAGGAAGGAACACCAGUGGCGAAGGCGACCACCUGGACUAAUACUGACACUGAGGUGCGAAAGCGUGGGGAGCAAACA